CUUCCAUUUCCUUGAUCCUUGACCUUUCCAUACCUGUGGGUAAGAUAUGAUACUUUUUGGUACAACUAAACAAGCUGCUUUUGAGAAAGUCUCCUCAGCAUACUGUCUAAGAAAUGUGAAACAACUGCUGUGUGUAUGAGGCGAUUCAAAGGCCUUAUCAAUAUUGACAACUGGAGCAUAUUUAUCAGUCUCCGUCUUUUCCUUGUCAAUAAGAAAGUAGACUCUAGGAUCAACGUUAGAAGUUUCAUGCCAUGAUUUUACAGCUGCCUCCAUUGUCUCAACAAGGAAAGAGAAAAUCUCUUUACAACACUCUUCAGACCCAAUCUUUUCAGACAGUUCAGAUUUCAAGGCAUCCAAGUGCUUUGCCAUGUCAACAUUGGAUCUUAUGCUCUCCACUUCUUGAGCUCGUUUUUUAUCUUUUGCCAAUUGGGAUAUCCUCCUUAUCUUUCUAGAUACCUCAGUGCUCUGUGGAUUGUACUGUAGAGAUGUUUGGAAAGCAGCCAAGGCAUCAUCAUACUGCUCCAUGGCCUCUAAUACACACCCUUUCCUGAAAUAACCUUUUUCCCAUUGGGGGUUCAAUGUGAUUGUUGUCUCAGCAUCAGCAAGUGCUUUAUUAAGCUUAACCAAUUGCAGAAAUGCAGCAGCACGAUUGCUAUAAAGAGUAGGAUUUGAAGGGUCAAGCUUGAUGGCCUGAGUGUAGAGAGCAGCAGCUUUAAGAUAGUUUCCCGCUUUGAAGAAUUCAUUACCCUUAUCUUUCAAUGAUAUCUUCUCCCCACAAUUGCCUUCCGUGGAGGCAUUCGCCGCUGAUCCUGCCAUAUUCAGUAGCGAAGAGGAU
rnacentral:misc_RNA from 1 species